UACAGAGACUGCAAGCGUUAUUCGGAUUCACUGGGCGUAAAGGGUGCGCAGGUGGCCAAGUGUGUUAGGCGUGAAAGCCCGGGGCUUAACCCCGGAAUUGCACCUAAAAACUACUCGGCUAGAGCAUUGGAGAGGGGAGCAGAAUUCAUGGUGUAGCAGUGAAAUGCGUAGAUACCAUGAGGAAUACCAGAGGCGAAGGCGGCUCCCUGGACAAUAGCUGACACUCAGGCACGAAAGCGUGGGGAGCAAAAGGG
rnacentral:rRNA from 1 species